GAUGAACGCUGGCGGCGUGCCUAAUACAUGCAAGUCGAACGAAACUUCUUUAUCACCGAGUGCUUGCACUCACCGAUAAAGAGUUGAGUGACGAACGGGUGAGUAACACGUGUUCAACCUGCCCAAAAGAGGGGGAUAACACUUGGAAACAGGUGCUAAUACCGCAUAACCAUAGUUACCGCAUGGUAACUAUGUAAAAGGUGGCUAUACUACCGCUUUUGGAUGGGCCCGCGGCGCAUUAGCUAGUUGGUAGGGUAAAGGCUUACCAAGGCAAUGAUGCGUAGCCGAACUGAGAGGUUGAUCGGCCACAUUGGGACGGAGACACGGCCCAGACUCCUACGGGAGGCAGCAGUAGGGAAUCUUCCACAAUGGGCGAAAGCCUGAUGGAGCAACGCCGCGUGGGUGAAGAAGGUCUUCGGAUCGUAAAACCCUGUUGUUAGAGAAGAAAGUGCGUGAGAGUAACUGUUCACGUUUCGACGGUAUCUAACCAGAAAGCCACGGCUAACUACGUG
rnacentral:rRNA from 1 species